rnacentral:rRNA from 1 species
UUUGGUGAUGAUGGCAGAGAGGUCACACCCCGUUCCCAUACCGAACACGGAAGUUAAGCUCUCUAGCGCCGAUGGUAGUUGGGACCUUGUCCCUGUGAGAGUAGGACGUCGCCAAGC